GUGUACCUUUCUAUCCAAUUGCAUAAGCUGAAUGUAUCUACCUCAACCAAUGAACUAAUGCUAAGUUUCUUGCCAUUGUAUCCUCACCACCUCCCUUUCCAAAUCUACAUAAACCCUGUUCACUGCCCAGACAAGGCUGAUCGCUUUGUGGAGAGGUCCCCCCAUCGGUCCACUAGCAAAGUAAACCUGACUUCCAGGAUGUGUGCUCGAUUCUUCUCUGCCCGACUCUGUUAUACCACCUAUAGCUACAACAGUGUGAGUUAUAUUUGCUACAAUAAUGAUAAUGCUAAAAAUAAAGAACAACCACCUUAGGAGCCUGAAGAAGCUUCCUAGACUGAGCUUCCCUAAUAACCAACUUGCUCAUGUGUAAUUUCUCUUUUUUUUUCUUUUCUGGAGCGUUUAUCCCUACCCUCUACUCUUUUGUAUUGUGUGAAUCUUUUUCUUUCUUUUGAGAAUGAAAGGUUUACAGUGUUCCGGAAAUCUUGGAAAGAAAUACACAGAGACACAGAAUUCAGGAAGCAAGCCAACCAAGCCACAGUAAAUGGUCUAGCAGAUGGUGUCCUCCCACCCCAGCCACCCUACAACAUACAAUGAUCCAAAUGGGCAAGUAGCUGAGGGAUUGAACUCAGGACCUUGUGCUUAUGAGGCGGG